rnacentral:rRNA from 1 species
CUCCUACGGGAGGCAGCAGUGGGGAAUAUUGCGCAAUGGUCGAAAGGCUGACGCAGCAACGCCGCGUGAGUGAUGAAGGUUUUCGGAUCGUAAAGCUCUGCCAGUAGGGAAGAAAUGCUACCGGUUAAUACCCGGUAGUUUUGACGGUACCUACAAAGGAAGCACCGGCUAACUCCGUGCCAGCAGCCGCGGUAAAACGGAGGGUGCAAACGUUGUUCGGAAUUACUGGGCGUAAAGCGCGUGCAGGCGGUACAUUAAGUCUCGUGUGAAAUCCCUGGGCUCAACCCAGGAACUGCGCGAGAUACUGGUGAACUAGAGUACGGGAGAAGAGGGCGGAAUUCCCAGUGUAGAGGUGAAAUUCGUAGAUAUUGGGAGGAACACCAGAGGCGAAAGCGGCUCUCUAGACUGAUACUGACGCUCAGACGCGAAAGCGUGGGUAGCAAACAGGAUUAAAUACCCUGGUAGUCCACGCCGUAAACCAUGGAUGCUAGGUGUUGCGGGUGUUGACCCGCGCAGGGCCGUCGCUAACGCAUUAAGCAUCCCGCCUGGGGACUACGGUCGCAAGACUAAAACUCAAAGGAAUUGACGGGGGCCCGCACAAGCGGUGGAGCAUGUGGUUUAAUUUGACGCAACGCGAAGAACCUUACCUGGACUUGACAUCCUUGGAAUUCCCUAGAAAUAAGGAAGUGCUCGCAAGAGACCCGAGUGACAGGUGCUGCACGGCGGUCUUCAGCUCGUGUCGUGAGAUGUUGGGUUAAGUCCCGCAACGAGCGCAACCCCUGUCUUUAAUUGCCAUCAUUUAGUUGGGCACUUUAAAGAGACCGCCGGUGUUAAACCGGAGGAAGGUGGGGAAGACGUCAAGUCAUCAUGGCCCUUAUGUCCAGGGCUACACACGUGCUACAAUGGAUAGUACAAAGGGUUGCCAACCCGCGAGGGGGAGCUAAUCCCAGAAAGUGCAUUUUAGUCCGGAUCGCAGUUUGCAACUUGACUGCGUGAAGUUGGAAUCGCUAGUAAUCGCGAAUCAGCAAUGUCGCGGUGAAUACGUUCCCGGGCCUUGUACACACCGCCCGUC